rnacentral:rRNA from 1 species
UACAGAGGUCUCAAGCGUUGUCCGGAUUUACUGGGUGUAAAGGGUGCGCAGGCGGACUGGUAAGUCAGUGGUGAAAUCUCGCCGCUUAACGACGAAACUGCCUUUGAUACUAUCAGUCUUGAGUCCGGUAGAGAUCUGUGGAAUUCCGAGUGUAGCAGUGAAAUGUGUAGAUAUUCGGAAGAACACCAAUGGCGAAGGCAGCUCUCUGGGACGGUACUGACGCUGAGACGCGAAAGCGUGGGGAGCGAACAGG